AGUAGGGAAUCUUCCACAAUGGGCGAAAGCCUGAUGGAGCAACGCCGCGUGAGUGAAGAAGGAUUUCGGUUCGUAAAACUCUGUUGUAAGGGAAGAACAAGUACAGUAGUAACUGGCUGUACCUUGACGGUACCUUAUUAGAAAGCCACGGCUAACUACGUGCCAGCAGCCGCGGUAAUACGUAGGUGGCAAGCGUUGUCCGGAAUUAUUGGGCGUAAAGCGCGCGCAGGUGGUUUCUUAAGUCUGAUGUGAAAGCCCACGGCUCAACCGUGGAGGGUCAUUGGAAACUGGGAGACUUGAGUGCAGAAGAGGAUAGUGGAAUUCCAAGUGUAGCGGUGAAAUGCGUAGAGAUUUGGAGGAACACCAGUGGCGAAGGCGACUAUCUGGUCUGUAACUGACACUGAGGCGCGAAAGCGUGGGGAGCAAA
rnacentral:rRNA from 1 species